rnacentral:rRNA from 1 species
GACGAACGCUGGCGGCGUGCUUAACACAUGCAAGUCGAACGGAAAGGCCUCUUUUGGGGGGUAUUCGAGUGGCGAACAGGUGUGUAACACGUGAGUAACCUGUGCCUUACUCUUUGAUAACUUCAGGAGACUGUGGCUAUUACCGCAUAUGAGCUCCUGCUGCAUGGUGGGGGUUGGAAAGUUUCUGCGGUUGGGGAUGGACUCGCGGCUUAUCAGCUUGUUGGUGGGGUAGUGGCUUACCAAGGCUUUGACGGGUAGCCGGCCUGAGAGGGUGACCGGCCAAAUUGGGAAUAGGAUACGGCCCGGACUCCUACGGGAGGCAGCAGUGGGGAAAAUUGCAAAAUGGGUGGAAGCCUGAGGCGGGAACGCCGGGGGCGGGAUGAGGGCCUUCGGUUUGUAAACCGCUUUCGCUCAUGACGAAGCUUUGUGUGACGGUAGUGGGUAAAGAAGCACCGGCUAACUACGUG